AAAUAAAUAGACUAAAGCGCCAUGUCCAUAGAUGAGAGAACCGCAACGAGUCCGUCCUACUAUCGUCGGAUAAUCUCUACAGUAAACGAUAAUUCCGGUAGCGUGUCAUUGCGACUCGCAACGAAACGCCACGAGACCGCAACGGAUCGCCGCGUGACGGGACGGCAACGACUCCUUCCGCCCUCAACUGUGGCGGUAUCGCCACAAGACUCAAUGGUAUCGCCGCGAGACGCGACGAUACUGUGACGUUAUACCCGUCCAGUCAAUCAAUCAUUUUUA